GACGAACGCUGGCGGCGUGCUUAACACAUGCAAGUCGAACGAAGUGGCGAACGGGUGAGUAACGCGUAAUCAACCUGCCCUUCAGAGGGGGACAACAGUUGGAAACGACUGCUAAUACGCAUACUGAAGGAGGGGAUUGCGUCUGAUUAGCUAGUUGGAGGGGUAACGGCCCACCAAGGCGAUGAUCAGGAGCCGGUCGGGGAGGAUGAACGGCCACAGUGGGAGUGGGACACGGCCCAGACCCCGACGGGAGGCAGCAGUAGUGAAUCGUCCGCAAUGGACGAAAGUCUUACGGAGCAACGCCGCGUGAGGGAUGACGGCCUUCGGGUUGUAAAGCUCUGUUAUUCGGGACGCGGUACCGGAAUAGAAAGCCACGGCUAACUACGUGCCAGCAGCCGCGGUAAUUC
rnacentral:rRNA from 1 species